rnacentral:rRNA from 1 species
CAGACCACCAGCUAAGGUCCCAAAAUAUAUGUUAAGUGGAAAAGGAUGUGGCGUUGCCCAGACAACUAGGAUGUUGGCUUAGAAGCAGCCAUCAUUUAAAGAGUGCGUAAUAGCUCACUAGUCGAGUGACACUGCGCCGAAAAUGUACCGGGGCUAAACAUAUUACCGAAGCUGUGGAUUGUCCUUUGGACAAUGGUAGGAGAGCGUUCUAAGGGCGUUGAAGCAUGAUCGUAAGGACAUGUGGAGCGCUUAGAAGUGAGAAUGCCGGUGUGAGUAGCGAAAGACGGGUGAGAAUCCCGUCCACCGAUUGACUAAGGUUUCCAGAGGAAGGCUCGUCCGCUCUGGGUUAGUCGGGUCCUAAGCUGAGGCCGACAGGCGUAGGCGAUGGAUAACAGGUUGAUAUUCCUGUACCACCUAUAAUCGUUUUAAUCGAUGGGGGGACGCAGUAGGAUAGGCGAAGCGUGCGAUUGGAUUGCACGUCUAAGCAGUAAGGCUGAGUAUUAGG